AUGCUNGAUUCAGUGGCACAUACGCUAAAAAUGGAACAAUAUAGAAGAUUAGCAUGGCCUCUGAGAAAAAAUAACAUGUAAAUUAGUGUGAAGCAUUCCAAAUUUUU
rnacentral:snRNA from 1 species